AACCAGAAUUGAGGCACCAGAGAUACCAAGUGCUAUCUUUGAAAAAUGGACUUUUAAAAAACAUGCUCCUGAGGCACACUGCAAGUACUCGGAGUCCACUCCUGCUACCCCUUGUCACACCCUGUGAUACUGUACAGCAAUUCUCUCUCCAUCUAAAAAUGAUCCACUGAGCUGUUUGCAGAGUAAGAUACACCAAGGACAAGAUAAUCAUUCAAUCUGUGUGCCCAGUCAGAGACGCAGUGGAUACAGGAUACAUAAUUUUUACAGACUUAAACAGUGAGAAGACAUUACAUGCCUAAAAUGAAGUAGCUCAAAGAAAAAUUCACCAAUGCCCCAAAUUCACCAAAAAUGCCCCAAAGAAAGGGCAGGCUGACUUGGAAAACCAGGAGCCAUCUCUACUCCUACCAGCUGGAGUUUCUCCCACUUCUACAGCUAUUAAAGUUAUGAAAUGUUUGGAUGUUUUACUAAUUCUAUUAAGAACCAGAAAGGCUGUUCCCACCAUGACCAGAAAAUGAAACAGCAGCAAUCACAUGGGAAAAUGCUCAACUUCCCAGACUCAGCAGUUUUAUUAGUGCAAAUACCCUCCAGACAGACAGCCACACAUUUUCCUGCUUCCUUACACUGAACCCUAACUCAGCCUGGGGUGGCUAAGCUGGUGCUACUAACCUUCCUCUCCAGCUCAUUUCACCUGCAAGAAGGAAUGGCCUGCUGAUGAGGAUUUUGACCAAGGAUUCUAACACGUUUGUUGUUUAUUUUGUCUCUCUUUCUUUUGUGGAUUGCCUGAACAACUUUGGGCAAGUUGUUAAUUCUGUUGGUGUCCCAGCUCCCCAGCUAUGAAAUGGAAAU